AACGAACGCUGGCGGCAUGCCUAACACAUGCAAGUCGAACGAGACCUUCGGGUCUAGUGGCGCACGGGUGCGUAACGCGUGGGAACCUGCCCUUAGGUUCGGAAUAACUCCCCGAAAGGGGUGCUAAUACCGGAUAAUGUCUUCGGACCAAAGAUUUAUCGCCUUUGGAUGGGCCCGCGUUGGAUUAGCUAGUUGGUAGGGUAAAAGCCUACCAAGGCGACGAUCCAUAGCUGGUCUGAGAGGAUGAUCAGCCACACUGGGACUGAGACACGGCCCAGACUCCUACGGGAGGCAGCAGUGGGGAAUAUUGUACAAUGGGCGAAAGCCUGAUCCAGCAAUGCCGCGUGAGUGAUGAAGGCCUUAGGGUUGUAAAGCUCUUUUACCCGGGAUGAUAAUGACAGUACCGGGAGAAUAAGCUCCGGCUAACUCCGUG
rnacentral:rRNA from 1 species